rnacentral:rRNA from 1 species
GGUUAAGUUAGAAAGGGCGCACGGUGGAUGCCUUGACACUAGGAGUCGAUGAAGGACGGGACUAACGCCGAUAUGCUUCGGGGAGCUGUAAGUAAGCUUUGAUCCGAAGAUUUCCGAAUGGGGAAACCCACCAUACGUAAUGGUAUGGUAUCCUUAUCUGAAUACAUAGGGUAAGGAAGACAGACCCAGGGAACUGAAACAUCUAAGUACCUGGAGGAAGAGAAAGCAAAUGCGAUUUCCUGAGUAGCGGCGAGCGAAACGGAACAUAGCCCAAACCAAGAGGCUUGCCUCUUGGGGUUGUAGGACAUUCUAUACGGAGUUACAAAGGAACGAGGUAGACGAAGCGACCUGGAAAGGUCCGUCGUAGAGGGUAACAACCCCGUAGUCGAAACUUCGUUCUCUCUUGAAUGUAUCCUGAGUACGGCGGAACACGUGAAAUUCCGUCGGAAUCUGGGAGGACCAUCUCCCAAGGCUAAAUACUCCCUAGUGAUCGAUAGUGAACCAGUACCGUGAGGGAAAGGUGAAAAGCACCCCGGAAGGGGAGUGAAAGAGAUCCUGAAACCGUGUGCCUACAAAUAGUCAGAGCCCGUUAAUGGGUGAUGGCGUGCCUUUUGUAGAAUGAACCGGCGAGUUACGAUCCCGUGCGAGGUUAAGCUGAAGAGGCGGAGCCGCAGCGAAAGCGAGUCUGAAUAGGGCGUUUAGUACGUGGUCGUAGACCCGAAACCAGGUGAUCUACCCAUGUCCAGGGUGAAGUUCAGGUAACACUGAAUGGAGGCCCGAACCCACGCACGUUGAAAAGUGCGGGGAUGAGGUGUGGGUAGCGGAGAAAUUCCAAUCGAACCUGGAGAUAGCUGGUUCUCCCCGAAAUAGCUUUAGGGCUAGCCUUAAGUGUAAGAGUCUUGGAGGUAGAGCACUGAUUGGACUAGGGGUCCUCAUCGGAUUACCGAAUUCAGUCAAACUCCGAAUGCCAAUGACUUAUCCUUAGGAGUCAGACUGCGAGUGAUAAGAUCCGUAGUCAAAAGGGAAACAGCCCAGACCGCCAGCUAAGGUCCCAAAGUGUGUAUUAAGUGGAAAAGGAUGUGGAGUUGCUUAGACAACUAGGAUGUUGGCUUAGAAGCAGCCACCAUUUAAAGAGUGCGUAAUAGCUCACUAGUCGAGUGACUCUGCGCCGAAAAUGUACCGGGGCUAAAUACACCACCGAAGCUGCGGAUUGAUACCGAAUGGUAUCAGUGGUAGGGGAGCGUUCUAAGGACAGUGAAGUCAGACCGUAAGGACUGGUGGAGUGCUUAGAAGUGAGAAUGCCGGUAUGAGUAGCGAAAGACGGGUGAGAAUCCCGUCCACCGAAUGCCUAAGGUUUCCUGAGGAAGGCUCGUCCGCUCAGGGUUAGUCAGGACCUAAGCCGAGGCCGACAGGCGUAGGCGAUGGACAACAGGUUGAUAUUCCUGUACCACCUCUUUAUCGUUUGAGCAAUGGAGGGACGCAGAAGGAUAGAAGAAGCGUGCGAUUGGUUGUGCACGUCCAAGCAGUUAGGCUGAUAAGUAGGCAAAUCCGCUUAUCGUGAAGGCUGAGCUGUGAUGGGGAAGCUCCUUAUGGAGCGAAGUCUUUGAUUCCCCGCUGCCAAGAAAAGCUUCUAGCAAGAUAAAAGGUGCCUGUACCGCAAACCGACACAGGUAGGCGAGGAGAGAAUCCUAAGGUGUGCGAGAGAACUCUGGUUAAGGAACUCGGCAAAAUGACCCCGUAACUUCGGGAGAAGGGGUGCUUUCUUAACGGAAAGCCGCAGUGAAUAGGCCCAAGCGACUGUUUAGCAAAAACACAGCUCUCUGCGAAGCCGUAAGGCGAAGUAUAGGGGGUGACACCUGCCCGGUGCUGGAAGGUUAAGGAGAGGGGUUAGCGUAAGCGAAGCUCUGAACUGAAGCCCCAGUAAACGGCGGCCGUAACUAUAACGGUCCUAAGGUAGCGAAAUUCCUUGUCGGGUAAGUUCCGACCCGCACGAAAGGUGUAACGAUUUGGGCACUGUCUCAACCAGAGACUCGGUGAAAUUAUAGUACCUGUGAAGAUGCAGGUUACCCGCGACAGGACGGAAAGACCCCGUGGAGCUUUACUGUAGCCUGAUAUUGAAUUUUGGUACAUUUUGUACAGGAUAGGCGGGAGCCUUUGAAACCGGAGCGCUAGCUUCGGUGGAGGCGCUGGUGGGAUACCGCCCUGAAUGUAUUGAAAUUCUAACCUACGGGUCUUAUCGACCCGGGAGACAGUGUCAGGUGGGCAGUUUGACUGGGGCGGUCGCCUCCUAAAGUGUAACGGAGGCGCCCAAAGGUUCCCUCAGAAUGGUUGGAAAUCAUUCGUAGAGUGCAAAGGCAUAAGGGAGCUUGACUGCGAGACCUACAAGUCGAGCAGGGACGAAAGUCGGGCUUAGUGAUCCGGUGGUUCCGCAUGGAAGGGCCAUCGCUCAACGGAUAAAAGCUACCCCGGGGAUAACAGGCUUAUCUCCCCCAAGAGUCCACAUCGACGGGGAGGUUUGGCACCUCGAUGUCGGCUCAUCGCAUCCUGGGGCUGUAGUCGGUCCCAAGGGUUGGGCUGUUCGCCCAUUAAAGCGGUACGCGAGCUGGGUUCAGAACGUCGUGAGACAGUUCGGUCCCUAUCCGUCGUGGGCGUAGGAAAUUUGAGAGGAGCUGUCCUUAGUACGAGAGGACCGGGAUGGACGCACCGCUGGUGUACCAGUUGUUCUGCCAAGGGCAUAGCUGGGUAGCUAUGUGCGGAAGGGAUAAGUGCUGAAAGCAUCUAAGCAUGAAGCCCCCCUCAAGAUGAGAUUUCCCAUAGCGUAAGCUAGUAAGAUCCCUGAAAGAUGAUCAGGUUGAUAGGUUCGAGGUGGAAGCAUGGUGACAUGUGGAGCUGACGAAUACUAAUAGAUCGAGGACUUAACCAU